rnacentral:rRNA from 1 species
GCGAAAUGCGAUAAGUAAUGUGAAUUGCAGAAUUCAGUGAAUCAUCGAAUCUUUGAACGCACCUUGCGCCCUUUGGCUAUUCCGAAGGGCAUGCCUGUUUGAGUAUCAUGAACACCUCAACUCUCGUGGUUUGCGCUACGAUGAGCUUGGACUUUGGGGGUCUUGCUGGCCUGUGGUCGGCUCCUCUCAAAUGAAUCAGCUUUCCAGUGUUUGGUGGCGUCGCAGGUGUGAUAACUAUCUACGCUUGUGGUUUUCCACCAGAUAACCUUCAGUGAUGGAGGUUCGCUGGGGCUCAUAAACGUCUUUCCUCAGUGAAGACAGCUUUUUGAACGUUUGAUCUCAAAUCAGGUAGGACUACCCGCUGAACUUAAGCAUAUCAAUAAGCGGAGGAAAAGAAACU